rnacentral:lncRNA from 1 species
CUAAACAUACAAACCAUGGCAUAUAUCACGUUAUUUAUGUUUUCAUUUCGCCACACCAGCGGCACACCGCAUGGAUCUGUGGCCUGCUGUACAUCACACACACGGACACGGAAAGCAUCACAGGUGGGUGCAGCUCCGACCAUGCGAGUUUCACCGUCGACUGUGAUCUAGGACAUCUUGACGUGCUCCAUGCGCUGCCUCUCCAUGUACUCGAAGAGGCUGCCGUCGUACAUGCGCCGGAUGGCCUCCCUCGACAGGUACCCUUCGUCGUCCCGAGCCAGCACGUACAGGAACGACCACUCCAGCUUCAUCGCCACCCUGCAUCCGUCCAUCCAUCCCAUCUCACACCAGUUAGCUAUACAACAACAUAGCCGCAGCAUGCAGCAACUGAAACUGAAGGUUCAUUCAUGCUGAUCGUCGAGUAAAUUAGCCAGUUACCAG